rnacentral:rRNA from 1 species
GAUGAACGCUGGCGGCGUGCCUAAUACAUGCAAGUAGAACGCUGAAGGAAGGAGCUUGCUCUUUCCGGAUGAGUUGCGAACGGGUGAGUAACGCGUAGGUAACCUGCCUGGUAGCGGGGGAUAACUAUUGGAAACGAUAGCUAAUACCGCAUAACAGUAGAUGUUGCAUGAUAUCUACUUAAAAGGUGCAAUUGCACCACUACCAGAUGGACCUGCGUUGUAUUAGCUAGUUGGUGAGGUAACGGCUCACCAAGGCGACGAUACAUAGCCGACCUGAGAGGGUGAUCGGCCACACUGGGACUGAGAAACGGCCCAGACUCCUACGGGAGGCAGCAGUAGGGAAUCUUCGGCAAUGGACGGAAGUCUGACCGAGCAACGCCGCGUGAGUGAAGAAGGUUUUCGGAUCGUAAAGCUCUGUUGUAAGAGAAGGACGAGUGUGAGAGUGGAAAGUUCACACUGUGACGGUAUCUUACCAGAAAGGGACGGCUAACUACGUG